rnacentral:rRNA from 1 species
UGGGGAAUAUUGCACAAUGGGCGCAAGCCUGAUGCAGCCAUGCCGCGUGUAUGAAGAAGGCCUUCGGGUUGUAAAGCACUUUCAGCGGGGAGGAAGGCGAUAAGGUUAAUAACCUCAUCGAUUGACGUUACCCGCAGAAGAAGCACCGGCUAACUCCGUGCCAGCAGCCGCGGUAAUACGGAGGGUGCAAGCGUUAAUCGGAAUUACUGGGCGUAAAGCGCACGCAGGCGGUCUGUCAAGUCGGAUGUGAAAUCCCCGGGCUCAACCUGGGAACUGCAUUCGAAACUGGCAGGCUAGAGUCUUGUAGAGGGGGGUAGAAUUCCAGGUGUAGCGGUGAAAUGCGUAGAGAUGUGGAGGAAUACCGGUGGCGAAGGUGGCCCCCUGGACAAAGACUGACGCUCAGGUGCGAAAGCGUGGGGAGCAAACAGG